rnacentral:rRNA from 1 species
UACGUAGGGUGCAAGCGUUAAUCGGAAUUACUGGGCGUAAAGCGUGCGCAGGCGGUCCGCUAAGACAGAUGUGAAAUCCCCGGGCUUAACCUGGGAACUGCAUUUGUGACUGGCGGGCUAGAGUAUGGCAGAGGGGGGUAGAAUUCCACGUGUAGCAGUGAAAUGCGUAGAGAUGAGGAGGAAUACCGAUGGCGAAGGCAGCCCCCUGGGCCAAUACUGACGCUCAUGCACGAAAGCGUGGGGAGCAAACAGG